GAUGAACGCUGGCGGCGUGCCUAAUACAUGCAAGUCGAACGAACAGACGCGGAGCUUGCUCCUCUGACGUUAGCGGCGGACGGGUGAGUCACACGUGGAUAACAUACCUAUAAGACUGGGCUCACUUCGGGAAACCGGAGCUAAUACCUGCUAAUAUAUUGAAACGCACGCAUCAAUAGUCAGAGACGGUUUUGCUGUCACUUAUAGAUGGAUCCGCGCCGCAUUAGCUAGUUGGGAAGGUAACGGCUUACCACGGCAACGAUGAGUAGCCGAACUGAGAGGGUCGUCGGCCACACUGGAACUGAGACACGGUCCAGACUCCUACGGGAGGCAGCAGUAGGGAAUCUUACGCAAUGGGCGAAAGCCUGACGGAGCAACGCCGCGGGAGUGAUGAAGGUCUUCGGAUCGGAAAACUCUGUUAUUAGGCAAUAACAAAUGUGUAAGUAACUAUGCACGUCUUGACGGUACCUAAACAGAAAGCCACGGCUAACUACGUG
rnacentral:rRNA from 1 species